rnacentral:rRNA from 1 species
GACAGAGGCCCCAAGCGUUAGUCGGAAUUACUGGGCUUAAAGGGUGCGUAGGCGGGCGUGAAAGUGUUCUGUGAAAUCCCCGGGCUCAACCCGGGAACCGCAGGGCAUACUCCACGUCUCGAGGAAGCUAGAGGCCGGCGGAACGAUCGGUGGAGCGGUGGAAUGCGUAGAGAUCGAUCGGAACGCCAAGGGUGAAGACAGCCGGCUGGGGCUUUCCUGACGCUGAGGCACGAAAGCGCGGGGAUCAAACAGG